AACGAACGCUGGCGGCAGGCUUAACACAUGCAAGUCGAACGCACCUUUCGGGGUGAGUGGCCGACGGGUGCGUAACGCGUGGGAAUCUACCCUUCUCUACGGGAUAGCUCCGGGAAACUGGAAUUAAUACCGUAUACGUCCUGAGGGAGAACGAUUUAUCGGGGAAGGAUGAGCCCGCGUUGGAUUAGCUAGUUGGUGGGGUAAAGGCCUACCAAGGCGACGAUCCAUAGCUGGUCUAAGAGGAUGAUCAGCCACACUGGGACUGAGACACGGCCCAAACUCCUACGGGAGGACGCAGGGGGGAAUAUUGGACGACGGGCGCAAGCCUGAUCCAGCCAGGCCGUGUGAGUGAUGAAGGCCCGAGGGUUGGAAAGCUCGUGAAGAGGGGACGAUAAUGACGGUACCCAAAGAAAAAGCCACGGCUAACUUCGUG
rnacentral:rRNA from 1 species